GCGGCGGAUUCACGCGAGGACACCAGCGGUGGCGGCCCGGGCUGGAAGGCUGGCGGAGGCGUGCUUGGAGACCGGCGGCGGCUUGGCUUGGGAGGCCGCUGGCGGGAGCGCAGGAUGGGAGGCGCUGGGAGACCGGCGAUGGCCUGAAUCGGGAGAGAGAAACAUAGUUCUGAUUUUUUUUAUUUUAUUACUAAUGUGAAA
rnacentral:lncRNA from 1 species